rnacentral:tRNA from 1 species
GGACACAUCGAUGCUCGGACAGCAGACCACUUCCUUGGUAAGGAAGAGGUCUCGGGUUCGAAUCCCGACGUGGGCUCCA